AAGUCGUAACAAGGUUUCCGUAGGUGAACCUGCGGAAGGAUCAUUAUUGAUUUCGGAGUGUCGAUGCUUGCUCCACUUCGGUGGGACGGUGUCGUACCUCUACCACACACCUGUGCACCGUGGCGUUCGCGCCUUUACAAACAAUAGUGUAACGAACGUGUCUUAUUUUAACAAAUAAAA
rnacentral:misc_RNA from 1 species